rnacentral:rRNA from 1 species
GAUGAACGCUGGCGGCGUGCCUCAGACAUGCAAGUCGAACGAUUAAGACUUCCUUCGGGAAGUGCAUAAAGUGGCGCACGGGUGAGUAACACGUAAGUAAUCUACCCUCGAGUGGGGAAUAACAUCGGGAAACCGAUGCUAAUACCGCAUAAUGCAGCGGCACCGCAAGGUGACAGUUGUUAAAGGAGCAAUUCGCUUGAGGAGGAGCUUGCGGCAGAUUAGCUUGUUGGUAAGGUAACGGCUUACCAAGGCUACGAUCUGUAUCCGGUCUAAGAGGACGGUCGGACACACUGACACUGAAUAACGGGUCAGACUCCUACGGGAGGCAGCAGUCGGGAAUUUUGGGCAAUGGGCGAAAGCCUGACCCAGCAACGCCGCGUGAAGGAUGAAGUAUUUCGGUAUGUAAACUUCGAAAGAAUGGGAAGAAUAAAUGACGGUACCAUUUAUAAGCUCCGGCUAACUACGUGCCAGCCGCCGCCGUAACAC